GGAGAAUUUUGCUAUUGUGCUAAUAGUGCCCUACAUCCACUGUUUAGUAGAUUUGGCGGUUCGGCAGGCGACAACGCCUAUCACCAGGUUUGGUGAAUCCCUUUCCUGGGACAGCGAAAAGCAAGCCAUAUAUUUGGUGGACGUGCUGGGCAGUACGGUAUACCAGCACGUCUAUGGGUCCAAUGCAACCACAUCCACCAAAAUCGAUUCUGAAACGAUAGGAGCGGCCAUACCCAUCAGAGACAGAAUUGGUGAGUUUAUCGUUCCUGCGAACCAGGACGUGCUGAAACUCGAAUGGGAUGGAAC